GUCGCUAGUGAGCAGGCUCCGGGAUUAGGGGUGCCUGCUUAAGAUGCCGAGUGACGCUGGGACUCUCCUUCCACAGAGGAGGGCAGACCUGAACAAGGGGUAGUGAUGACGCUGAGAGGCAAGGACCCCCAAAUGCUAGCUCAAUCUCCAGGUCCCCAGGGUUGAAUCCAGCACUCACCCUUUUUCCUCCUAAGGAAGGAGAAUUGGAAUCCUGGCAGAGCUACCGUCUGACUACGUGAGUGAGCAAGUCACUUAAAUUCCCUAAGCCUAGAAUUCUUCUUGUGUAGAAUAUGAAGCAACAAAAUCUUUCGCAGGGAUUAGUCAAGAACCUCCCAACAUCGGGCGUCGCAUGUACUCUGUGCUCUCAAACGCCGCAGAUACAGAAAACAAAGCAUGUGGACAAAUCCCUGAGCAAAGUGAGACUUCCUCCCCAAGGUGACUGCAGGCUGGUGGGCCAGCAGCCUCAGGUAGGGCGGUCUGCAAGGAAGGGAGUGCGUCCGUUCCCUUCCCUGCGGCUGCUUGAAGAAGGCGAAAGGAAACUGCGCGUUGAGCAAGCGCCACGGGUCUCAUAAUGGCCAUCCUUGGUGGGCCCAGGCCGCUUCGCUAAGACAGAAAACCGCCCUACAGGGGGGACGAAAGCUGCUUAAGCCACCGCUUGAAUAGAAAGUAUGUGGCCACCUGAGGCAAUAAUCGUCUUCCGAAUGCUUCUAGAGCGCCCUCUUGGCAACUGGCUCUGAGCUUGGAGGGAAGUGGGCGUGGCAAGAGAGAUAGGAAAGUAGAAGGUAGUGUAGAUCUUCUGGGCUUAUGAGGUGGGGUACACACGCUGCGGGUGCUGGAAGCCCAGGCCCAGAACUCUCCAAAUUGAGGUGGCCCUCUCGCUACCACCAAUCUGGGAAAGGGGAGUUAGCCUCCUCAUCUCAUCUCCAACACCCUUCUUACAAACACUGCUUCAUCCCUCCCCAGAUCCUGACCCCUACAUUUCUCUCUACUAGCCCUUCCCAGCUGCAGGGGAAGCUUUACUGCUCUGUACAAAGAGCAGAUGGAGAGGAUACCAUGCAGAGUGAAUUCAAAUCUCUGUGACCAACUAGCUGUGUGUUGCUGUGAGUUCCUCAGCCUCUCUGAGCCUCUCUGAGCCUCUCUUUCUCUUCUGUGACAUGGAGAUAUUAAUGGCAGUGCUGUUUCCAGGGCUGUGUGAAAUCAUCUCUGCAAAGCACUUAGCUUAGUAUCUGGCACAAAGAAGAAUUGAGGUGAUCAUGGAGGACGUAAUAAGCUCAAGAAGUUCCUGGAGCUCUGAGGCAGAAGAGCAGGCAAGUAGGGGGUGCCCCUGGCAAGCUUCCAGGAUGGGAGCGACUGCGGAGCUAUUCCAUGCUGCUCUGUCAAGGUUGCCUUCCUGUUAGCUGGGGCUGUUUGAUCUAUAAGUGAGAGGCAGGAACCUGAACCAUUAGCUGGGGGACAGUCCUGUCCUUCCUAGCCUACUUUUGCAGCUUCCACAUCCCUUGUCCCUGGGGCCCCUGCCUUGACAGGUUUUUUGUCAUUAGGAAGUACAGAUACCUAUUUUUCCCCAGCCCCGCAUUACCUCAGUCUUUGCCCAUGAAUAAUAUUUUAGGUACUGCAUUUCUCUGUCAUCAUUUUAGGCAAUUUACUGGCUUAUACAAAUAUUGCCCUACUUUAUAAUGUAAAUUUACAACAAACUACUGGCAAACAAUAUUUUCAUAGCACUCUCAUAAUGGAUGAGGUGUUAUUAAAGUCUUAUGGGGAAAAAAGGGAGGUGCAGGUAGUGAAAGUGUCCUCUCAAACUCUUCUUCUCACUCCACUAUAAAUGCUCAUCCCAGCCCUUAGAUACCCUUUCCAGUUCUCCUCUGCACACUCUCAGCACCUACGACCCAACAUGAGGGUGUGCUUCAGGUUACAGGAACUGCUCUGUGGUCUGUGUUCACCCCCUGCCUUGAGUCUCAGUGCUGCCAGCUUCAAGAAUAGGUACCUAGAGACAGCUAAGUCUACAGAACCUAAGUCAGAAAAUAAGAACAGAGUAACAGCUUAUCUAAUUUAAGCACCCAGGACUGCUCCUGCUGCUCCUGCACAGAGGGGCCUGUGAAGAAUGGAGUGGGAACGGGAAAGGAUACUAGAAGGCAGAGGUUUAACACUGGACACAGGCCUCAUGGGAGGACCACACUCACAGAUAAGGGAAAUGGCAGCAACAUAGCGCCUAGUAGAGCAAGCAGUGGCCUGGUGGUUUCAAGACCUCAGAGUAAGGUAUCAGCAUAGUGUGAUAAGGAUAGGAGAGAAAUGGACCUAUUAUGUGGGCACAGGUGUGAUGGGUUAAAGACAUAUUAAGAAUCCUCUCUGUGUUGUGCCCGAGCUAUGACCUUUUAUUGUAAGAAUGAAAUACAGAUGCUCUGUCUCCUGGGGAGAACUAGUCCUUCUCCACGGAAGACUAAGCACCACUGAUUUUUAACUCAGUACCUGUAAACACUGAUCGUGCCCUUGGGGAAGAACUGGGUAUUCUCCCAGAGGGAACAGUUGGUCAGUCGAGUCUUGAAAGGCCCUUGGCAUAUAGCCACUUUUGUCUAAAACUUAUUUAAGCAGAGCCCCCAAAAUGAGACUUGGGAAUCCCACCCUAGGGAAGGGCACUUUGCUCAAACUUUUUCCAGAGGAACACCAAGUGUGGCUGUCUCCAGUAUUCCCCAGUGUCUGUGUUCGGGUGUUGGUGAUUUCCUGUCUGGUGAUGUAUGCUCUUGAUUCUUGCUUUCUCUCUGCUCUUGCUUAAUAAAUUGCUUAACUAUUCACCUU